CUCCGAUAGCUCAGUGGUAGAGCGCCUCCUUGGUAAGGAGGAGGUCCCGGGUUCAAAUCCCGGUCGGAGCU
rnacentral:tRNA from 1 species